GCUUUCUGGUUCAUACCACCAAAAGCCAGCUUAAACCAGAGAUGAAUCUACUACAUGAUAUAACAAACGGCUGUUGCUCUUAUUUGCCCUGUAUGUUCUUAUCUCAGUUCACAAUUAAUCACCACCCUGGAAAUCAAACACUAAAGUAUUUGUACAUUCUCUUUUAAAAUACAUUUCAAUUUCCUUUUAGUUGAACUGCCCUGUCCUUCGCCACACCUGCUCUAUGCAUCAUUCUGCACAGCACACUCUGUACAUACCUGAGGAGUCUGAUGACUCAUGCUAGACAGGGAACAUAAUCACCAUAGAAAGAAUACAAGUUCAAAAACUGUGAUGCAAUUGAAGUAUAGAGGGAUGUCUGUUCAUUAGCAAAUAAUCACAUUUGCAUAUUGAUGAUACAUUACAUCAUGUCUGAGGACUAGAUCCUGUGCUCGGUAACAUGAAAUCCUCUUCAGUAUGUGACCAAACAAGUAACAUGAGUAACAAAUUUGUACUAAGCACUAAAGGCCUGUGCUGGAAAACUGUAAAACCAAUCCUAAGUAUUUGCUCAAGACUGCACCUACAGCUCCAAACACUUGGAUUCAUUACCUUUCCGCUACCUUGUGCCAUGCAGCAGUUACAGGACCCUGCCUGUGAGGACCCGUCCAGAAGCAAAGCUGCACCACUGUAGAUGACAAUCAUUACCUCCGUAUUCUCUCAUCCUCCCAUAUAAAGCUUCAACCUGAUUCUGAGGAAGGAAGGUGAAUCAGAGAAGUGCAGUUCAUACAGCUGUGGAGGUAGCAAUCCAAGACCAAAUGAGCCUUAAAGUACAAGCUACUUCAAAAAUAUUUUA